rnacentral:rRNA from 1 species
GUGCCAGCCGCCGCGGUAACACGUAGGCACCAAGCGUUAUCCGGAUUUAUUGGGCGUAAAGAGCUCGUAGGCGGUUCGGUAAGUCGGGUGUAAAAACUCUGGGCUCAACCCAGAGACGCCAUCCGAUACUGCUGUGACUAGAGUGCGGUAGGGGAGCGGGGAAUUCAUGGUGUAGCGGUGAAAUGCGCAGAUAUCAUGAGGAACACCAGCGGCGAAGGCGCCGCUCUGGGCCGUAACUGACGCUGAGGAGCGAAAGCAUGGGUAGCAAACAGGAUUAGAUACCCGCGUAGUCC